GACUCCGUAGCUCAGCCGGAUAGAGCACCAGAUUCCUAAUCUGGGGGCCGCGCGUUCGAAUCGCGCCGGGGUCACCA
rnacentral:tRNA from 1 species